GAUGAACGCUGACAGAAUGCUUAACACAUGCAAGUCAACUUGAAGCAGUUUCGGCUGUGGAUGGUGGCGGACGGGUGGGUAACGCGUAAAUAACUUGCCCUUUAGACUGGGACAACUGUUGGAAACGACAGCUAAUACCGGAUAUUAUGAAACCUUGGCAUCAAGGGAUUAUGAAAGCUAUAUGCGCUAGAGGAGAGAUUUGCGUCCUAUUAGCUAGUUGGUGAGGUAAUGGCUCACCAAGGCGACGAUCGGUAGCCGGCCUGAGAGGGUGAACGGCCACAAGGGGACUGAGACACGGCCCUUACUCCUACGGGAGGCAGCAGUGGGGAAUAUUGGGCAAUGGACAAAGAGUCUGAUCCAGAAAUUCUGUGUGUUUGAUGAAGGCCUUCGGGUUGUAAAGAACUUUAAGUAGGGAAGAAGAAAGUGACGGUACCUACAGAAUAAGCGACGGCUAAAUACGUGCCAGCAGCCGCCGUAA
rnacentral:rRNA from 1 species